GAUGAAACGCUAGCGACAGGCUUAACACAUGCAAGUCGAGGGGCAGCGGGGAGUAGCAAUACUUCGCCGGCGACCGGCGCACGGGUGAGUAAACACGUGUGCAACCAAACCCGUACCGGGAGAUAACCCGCGGAAACGGUGGACUAAACAUCCCAUGAUACUCGAGAGCCGCAUGGCUCUAGAUUUAAAAAUUCCGGUGGUACGGGACGGGCACGCGCGACAUUAGGUGGUUGGCGGGGUAAGGGCCCACCAAAGCCGACGAUGUCUAGGGGUUCUGAGAGGAAGGUCCCCCACACUGGAACUGAGACACGGUCCAGACUCCUACGGGAGGCAGCAGUGAGGAAUAUUGGUCAAAUGGGCGAGAGCCUGAACCAGCCAAAGUCGCGUGAGGGACGAAAUGGUCUAAUGGCCUGUAAAAACCUC
rnacentral:rRNA from 1 species